ACGCUGGCGGCAGGCUUAACACAUGCAAGUCGAACGGUAACAGGAGAAAGCUUGCUUUCUUGCUGACGAGUGGCGGACGGGUGAGUAAUGCUUGGGAAUCUGGCUUAUGGAGGGGGAUAACGACGGGAAACUGUCGCUAAUACCGCGUAGAGUCGAGAGACGAAAGUGCGGGACCGCAAGGCCGCAUGCCAUAGGAUGAGCCCAAGUGGGAUUAGGUAGUUGGUGGGGUAAUAGCCUACCAAGCCGACGAUCUCUAGCUGGUCUGAGAGGAUGACCAGCCACACCGGGACUGAGACACGGCCCGGACUCCUACGGGAGGCAGCAGUGGGGAAUAUUGCGCAAUGGGGGCAACCCUGACGCAGCCAUGCCGCGUGAAUGAAGAAGGCCUUCGGGUUGUAAAGUUCUUUCGGUAUUGAGGAAGGUUGUUGUGUUAAUAGCACGACAAAUUGACGUUAAAUACAGAAGAAGCACCGGCUAACUCCGUGCCAGCAGCCGCGGUAAUACGGAGGGUGCGAGCGUUAAUCGGAAUAACUGGGCGUAAAGGGCACGCAGGCGGACUUUUAAGUGAGGUGUGAAAUCCCCGGGCUUAACCUGGGAAUUGCAUUUCAGACUGGGAGUCUAGAGUACUUUAGGGAGGGGUAGAAUUCCACGUGUAGCGGUGAAAUGCGUAGAGAUGUGGGGGAAUACCGAAGGCGAAGGCAGCCCCUUGGGAAUGUACUGACGCUCAUGUGCGAAAGCGUGGGGAGCAAACAGGAUUAGAUACCCUGGUAGUCCACGCUGUAAACGCUGUCGAUUUGGGGAUUGGGCUUUAAGCUUGGUGCCCGAAGCUAACGUGAUAAAUCGACCGCCUGGGGAGUACGGCCGCAAGGUUAAAACUCAAAUGAAUUGACGGGGGCCCGCACAAGCGGUGGAGCAU
rnacentral:rRNA from 1 species